CCUACGGGAGGCAGCAGUGGGGAAUAUUGGGCAAUGGAGGCAACUCUGACCCAGCAACGCCGCGUGAAUGAUGAAGGUCUUCGGAUUGUAAAGUUCUUUUCUAAGGGAAGAAGAAAGUGACGGUACCUUAGGAAUAAGCCUCGGCUAACUACGUGCCAGCAGCCGCGGUAAUACGUAGGAGGCAAGCGUUAUCCGGAAUGACUGGGCGUAAAGGGUGCGUAGGUGGUUUGACAAGUUGGUAGCGUAACUCCGGAGCUCAACUUCGGAACUACUACCAAAACUGUUGGACUCGAGUGCAGGAGGGGCAACUGGAAUUUCUAGUGUAGCGGUGGAAUGCGUAGAUAUUAGGAAGAACACCGGUGGCGAAGGCGAGUUGCUGGACUGUAACUGACACUGAGGCACGAAAGCGUGGGGAGCAAACAGGAUUAGAUACCCCAGUA
rnacentral:rRNA from 1 species